rnacentral:rRNA from 1 species
GACGAACGCUGGCGGCGUGCUUAACACAUGCAAGUCGAACGGAAAGGCCCUGCUUUUGUGGGGUGCUCGAGUGGCGAACGGGUGAGUAACACGUGAGUAACCUGCCCUUGACUUUGGGAUAACUUCAGGAAACUGGGGCUAAUACCGGAUAGGAGCUCCUGCUGCAUGGUGGGGGUUGGAAAGUUUCGGCGGUUGGGGAUGGACUCGCGGCUUAUCAGCUUGUUGGUGGGGUAGUGGCUUACCAAGGCUUUGACGGGUAGCCGGCCUGAGAGGGUGACCGGCAACAUUGGGACUGAGAUACGGCCCAGACUCCUACGGGAGGAAGCAGUGGGGAAUAUUGAAAAAUGGGCGGAAGCCUGAUGCAGCAACGCCGCGUGCGGGAUGACGGCCUUCGGGUUGUAAACCGCUUUCGCCUGUGACGAAGCGUGAGUGACGGUAAUGGGUAAAGAAGCACCGGCUAACUACGUG